rnacentral:rRNA from 1 species
AAGGGCGUGCUAAUCUGCGAUAAGCGCCGGUAAGGUGAUAUGAACCGUUAUAACCGGCGAUACCCGAAUGGGGAAACCCAGUGUGACUCGUCACACUAUCAUUAACUGAAUCCAUAGGUUAAUGAGGCGAACCGGGGGAACUGAAACAUCUAAGUACCCCGAGGAAAAGAAAUCAACCGAGAUUCCCCCAGUAGCGGCGAGCGAACGGGGAGGAGCCCAGAGCCUGAAUCAGCAUGUGUGUUAGUGGAAGCGUCUGGAAAGGCGCGCGAUACAGGGUGACAGCCCCGUACACAAAAGCGCAUGUGCUGUGAGCUCGAUGAGUAGGGCGGGACACGUGGUAUCCUGUCUGAAUAUGGGGGGACCAUCCUCCAAGGCUAAAUACUCCUGACUGACCGAUAGUGAACCAGUACCGUGAGGGAAAGGCGAAAAGAACCCCGGCGAGGGGAGUGAAAAAGAACCUGAAACCGUGUACGUACAAGCAGUGGGAGCACAG